CGGAGUUUGCCCUCAGCUCUCAGGAUCCAGAGGAUGACCCAGACCAAUGGUUUGAGCAUUUUAAGUUCAUGAGACGUGUCCCCAGAGCUGAAGCCAAGGGUGUGGCUGCCUGGCUGUUGCAUCAGAUCUAGCUGGGGAGGUGGGGGUGGCCGGCUUGGCGGAGAGUACUCAAGCAUGUGGAAACAUAUUUUUGCCCUGAUAUCAGCUGUAUUACUCAGGGUUCUAGGCUUCGAGUGGAAGACGGAGCCUGGCUCGCUCAGGCCACCAGGGAACAUCCAGAAGGCUGUUGGGGGUCUGCAGAAUCGAGAGGGGUCAGGCUUGGGUGCCAGAGCCGACUGAGGAGCAGGGACAGGCUAGACCACGGAGAUCCUGCUCUGUGUGAAGAUGGACUGUCUGCUACUUGUUUGGGACUCAGUCCCAGGGCAGAGGGCAGACGCUAAAGAGGCCAUGUCAAGGGUUUCUGCUUGACACUAAGGGUGGGAAAUGAGGCUUUGCUCCAUUUGGCUCAGAACAAUCUCUUGUCUCUAAGCAUGCCUAACAUAGUGACAAAACCUCAAGAAGCCAAGCGUGAGGAGGAGCCAUGUGUAAUUUUAUGCCCUUUUCAACGAAAGGGCCAGGUGUUUUAUGACCAUCUUCUAUGUGUAGUUAUUUUGGGACUCAGGACCACUUAAUCAUUGAACCUGAGCCCUCUGCCUUCAGACACAGGGGAAGGGACAAAAUGGCCUCACGGGCUGUAAAAUCCCUGGCUCCAGUGGCAUCGGGUGGGGUGGGUGAGCACAUCACGUUUACUCGCAUUCCCAGAAACACUGCGUCAGCAUGAGGGAUGCCGGGAGGAGUGAGAAGUGGGAGGCUGGUGAGUGCUCGGUAUAGGAGACUCAUGGGAGGGAGAUGGGUGGUGGUGAUGGUGGUGGUGGUGAUGAUGAUGAUGGUGAUGAUGGUGAUGCUGAUGGUGGUGAUGAUGGUGAUGCUGAUGGUGGUGAUAAUAAUGAUAGAGAUGAUGAUGAUAGUGGCCUGUAUCUGCUCUGCAAGCUGACACAGAUGGGUGGGACUUGGAAGUAUGGUUUUCCCCUAAGAGUGGAGGGGAAGAGGUUGAGCAGCUGUCCCAUGUCAGACCCUUAAAAAAAAAAAAGCAGCAUCUCAUGGAAUUGCAACAACGCCCUGAUUAGUAAGUUCAGCUCUUUCUACUUCACCAAGGACCAAGCUCAGUCAACAGGCUUCAGAAAGCUACUUGGCCCCCCUCCUUCCUCUCCCCUUUCUUUCCUCUCCUUUCCUCCCUUCCCCUUCCUUUCCUUGCAGGGCCAGGUUGGAGCGCAGGGCCUUCUUCUCACACACACCAACAGAGCUUUCCUCCUGAGCUGUGUUCCAGCCCAUCCAUCUCGUCUAUCCCAAAGCACGUGUGCACAUUCCACAUUCCACUUAGCACCCAGGAGAAGGACCACUGGGUUCUGGCCCGGAACGGAAACAAUACUGCUGUGUGUGGCCAAGGUGUGGGUGGAGGGAAGCUAUGCCAU
rnacentral:lncRNA from 1 species